UGGCGGACGGGUGGGUAAUGUCUGGGAAACUGCCUGAUGGAGGGGGAUAACUACUGGAAACGGUAGCUAAUACCGCAUAACGUCGCAAGACCAAAGAGGGGGACCUUAGGGCCUCUUGCCAUCGGAUGUGCCCAGAUGGGAUUAGCUAGUAGGUGGGGUAACGGCUCACCUAGGCGACGAUCCCUAGCUGGUCUGAGAGGCUGACCAGCCACACUGGAACUGAGACACGGUCCAG
rnacentral:rRNA from 1 species